rnacentral:rRNA from 1 species
GAUGAACGCUGGCGGCGUGCCUAAUACAUGCAAGUCGAGCGCAGCGUUGACGCGUUAUUAACACGUCUAUAACCUCCUAUUAGUCUGGUAUAACUUCGGUAAACCGGAGCUAAACCCUAUUCUUAUCGAUCGAUCCGCCCUGCAUUUGCGAGUUGGUAAGGUAACGGCUUACAAAGGCAACGAUGCAUAGCCGACCUGAGAGGGUGAUCGGCCACACUGGAACUGAGACACGGUCCAGACUCCUACGGGAGGCAGCAGUAGGGAAUCUUCCGCAAUGGGCGAAAGCCUGACGGAUCAACGCCGCGUGAGUGAUGAAGGUCUUCGGAUCGUAAAACUCUGUUAUGAGGGAAGCGGGACCGAAAGAGAAAGCAACGGCUAACUACGUGCCAGCAGCCGCGGUAAUAG